AUACCGGCGGCCCGAGUGGUGGCCGCUAUUAUUGGGCCUAAAGCGUCCGUAGCCGGGCCUGUAAGUCCCUGGUGAAAUCCCACGGCUCAACCGUGGGGCUUGCUGGGGAUACUGCAGGCCUUGGGACCGGGAGAGGCCGGGGGUACCCCUGGGGUAGGGGUGAAAUCCUAUAAUCCCAGGGGGACCGCCAGUGGCGAAGGCGCCCGGCUGGAACGGGUCCGACGGUGAGGGACGAAGGCCAGGGGAGCGAACCGGAUUAGAAACCCUAGUAGUCC
rnacentral:rRNA from 1 species